CAGCAGCCGCGGGAAUACGUAGGGUGCAAGCGUUAAUCGGAAUUACUGGGCGUAAAGCGUGCGCAGGCGGUUUUGUAAGACAGAGGUGAAAUCCCCGGGCUCAACCUGGGAACUGCCUUUGUGACUGCAAGGCUAGAGUACGGCAGAGGGGGAUGGAAUUCCGCGUGUAGCAGUGAAAUGCGUAGAUAUGCGGAGGAACACCGAUGGCGAAGGCAAUCCCCUGGGCCUGUACUGACGCUCAUGCACGAAAGCGUGGGGAGCAAACAGGAUUAGAUACCCCUGUAGUCCCUGUCUCUUAUAC
rnacentral:rRNA from 1 species